rnacentral:ncRNA from 1 species
GCACUCUGGAGAAUCCCGGCAGACGCACGCCGGGUGCCGAAGGUGCAAAGCCCGGAAACGGGCCAAUCUCUCAGGCAAAAGGACAGAGGCG